rnacentral:rRNA from 1 species
UACAGAGGGUGCAAGCGUUGCUCGGAAUUACUGGGCGUAAAGCGUACGCAGACGGUUGGGUAGGUCGAAUGUGAAAGCCCCGGGCUCAACCUGGGAAUUGCAUUCGAAACCCCCCGACUCGAGUAUGGGAGAGGGAAGCGGAAUUCCUGGUGUAGAGGUGAAAUUCGUAGAUAUCAGGAGGAACACCGGCGGCGAAGGCGGCUUCCUGGCCCAUUACUGACGUUCAGGUACGAAAGCGUGGGUAGCAAACAGG